rnacentral:rRNA from 1 species
CCUACGGGGGGCAGCAGUGAGGAAUAUUGGUCAAUGGACGCGAGCCUGAACCAGCCAAGUCGCGUGAAGGAUGACGGCCCUACGGGUUGUAAACUUCUUUUAUAAAGGAAUAAAGGGAGGCACGUGUGCCUUUUUGUGUGUAUUUUAUGAAUAAGGAUCGGCUAACUCCGUGCCAGCAGCCGCGGUAAUACGGAGGAUGCGAGCGUUAUCCGGAUUUAUUGGGUUUAAAGGGAGCGUAGGCGGGUUGUUAAGUCAGCGGUGAAAGUUUGCGGCUCAACCGUAGAAUUGCCAUUGAUACUGGUAGGCUUGAGUGCAGUUGAGGUAGGCGGAAUUCAUGGUGUAGCGGUGAAAUGCUUAGAGAUCAUGAAGAACACCGAGUGCGAAGGCAGCUUACUAAGCUGCAACUGACGUUGAGGCUCGAAAGUGUGGGGAUCAAACAGGAUUAGAUACCCGGGUAGUC